rnacentral:rRNA from 1 species
UGUCUAAGUAUAAGCAAUCAUACUGUGAAACUGCGAAUGGCUCAUUAAAUCAGUUAUCGUUUAUUUGAUAGUACCUUUACCUGGAUAACCGUGGUAAUUCUAGAGCUAAUACAUGCUAAAAAUCCCGACUUCGGAAGGGAUGUAUUUAUUAGAUAAAAAACCAAUGCCCUUCGGGGCUCCUUGGUGAUUCAUAAUAACUUAACGAAUCGCAUGGCCUUGCGCCGGCGAUGGUUCAUUCAAAUUUCUGCCCUAUCAACUUUCGAUGGUAGGAUAGUGGCCUACCAUGGUCUCAACGGGUAACGGGGAAUUAGGGUUCUAUUCCGGAGAGGGAGCCUGAGAAACGGCUACCACAUCCAAGGAAGGCAGCAGGCGCGCAAAUUACCCAAUCCCAAUUCGGGGAGGUAGUGACAAUAAAUACUGAUACAGGGCUCUUUUGGGUCUUGUAAUUGGAAUGAGUACAAUCUAAAUCCCUUAACGAGGAACAAUUGGAGGGCAAGUCUGGUGCCAGCAGCCGCGG